GUCUCAAAACUCAGACUUGUAGCAACAUCGGGCUCUCACCUAUCCAAAAGAUCACUGUCUGACUGUGUGGUAGUACACGGAAGGGCUAGUAAUUCAGAAGGAGGAGCGACUGCAACAGCACACAGGCGGAGCCAACCGUCCACGGUAUUUCUUCCUCUCAGCUGCUAAGUUUCUAUCUUCCUGUGGCUGAAACAGCGUCUAGGCUCCGAGAUGGGUGCUGCAGAGACUGCAGAGGCUUCUGUGGGCAUGCUCAGUACCACAGACCGCCUGAAGGAGGGUAAAAAGCUCCAAGUACAUUGUCUCAGGAUCAUCUCCCCUGAGUCCCCUGCAAAGCUCUACGGCUGCUAUGCAGUGAUCGCUGUCCUCACUGCAGCUGUAAUUGCACUGACUGUUACACUGUCAGCAAAGGAAGAACAGUUCUCAUCCAAAACUACCUAUGCUGUUUGCCCAAGAGACUGGGUUGGAUUUGGGAGUAAAUGUUUUUAUUUUUCUGAAAACACGAGUAAUUGGACAUUCGGCCAUACCUUCUGCAUGGAACGGGAGGCCCAUCUAGCUCGAUUUGACAGUCUGGAGGAGCUGGAUUUCCUGAAGAGAUACAAAGGGAUUUUUGACUACUGGAUUGGCCUGCACAGGAACUCAUCAAGUAAACCUUGGAGAUGGGCAGACAACACUGAAUAUAACAGCUUGGUGUCAAUCAUGAUCUUCAAUAAUUUCCUGUUGAGAUCCAUAGGCCCCUCUGACCAGUAGAUUAGGCAGAGUGGGGGCAAGGCAAACUCUGGGAAUGGAUGAAUGGUUCUGGAUGGACAAGAUGUGGAAAUCAAGACCAUCAGCUUCAUCUGAGUUGAAGUCCACCCAAGUUGAGGUCCAUUCACGCUGCUCAGCCAGCUGUGAGGAGCAGUGUCCACUGAAGAUUGCCACCCUCCUUUACACCAUGCCACCAAAACCCCUUAUGCUUCCCUGACGGACCCCUUCCUGUGUUCAUGUUUGCAGUCUUUUAUUUCCCUCUAGAUCCCACAGAUGAACAUUUGAGACUUGUCUUUCUGAGUGUGGCCCCAGUUUCAUCCAUCUCCCUGCGGUAGUUGUUAAUUCUAAGUAGAUUAUAUAUGUAUUGUAUUUUAUAAAGACUGAGUUAAUACUAGGUUCCUGAUUUCCUCAUCUUGGUUUGUUUAGCUGUUGAAAUGUCCAGUAGCCAAAUGAUUCUGCUUCUUCUGUUGUAUGCUUCGGACCAGAAGAGGAGCAUAUAUUUAUUUGAGAAACAAAGGUACCUUUGGCACUAGACACUUGUGUUAGGCAAGGUCCUCUAGAGAAACAGAAGCAAUAGAAUAUAUAUUAUAAACUAGAUUGUGAUGGCUAACUUCAACUCUCAGCUUGAUACAGCUAGAAUCACCUGGGAAAAGGGUCCUAGUAAGGGAUUUAUUGUGUUGGUUGACUCAGUAUCAGCUGAGUAAUCCAACAUGAGUGUUGUGUGAUAGUUUGUUUGUGUUCUGACAAAUAAAGCUUGCCUGGAGAUCAGAGAAUCUGAGCAGCCACAGUCACAUCUUACCUCUAUGAAUCCCCUGACUGAAUGGAGGAGAUCCUGUCUCUACCUGCCUUAUAUUCCUGUCUCUACCUCCUGAUGAUGCUGGGAUUAAAGGCAUGAGCCUCCCAUGUGCUGAGAUUAGAGGAGUGCACCACUACCACCUGGCUCUGUUUCUCUUUUAGACUGGUUCAAUCUCCUAUAGCCCAAGGUGGCCUUGAACUUCUAAUUUCCCUGAUUCCUUUUUCCAAGUGCUGGGAUUAAAGGUGUGUGUCACCACUGCCCGGUCUCUAUGGUUAACUAAUGGCUAGCUCCAUGAUUCAAUUUCCAGGAAAGCUUUAUUUGUCAGAGCACAUACAACACAUGAGUGGGGGAUCUGCAUGCUGAAGAAGCAGAAAACUAGGUAAUGCCCAAUCCAAGAAACUCAGCUGCCUCAGUAUGGUGCUGAAGGACUGGAAAACUACGUAGAGUCAGUGGUGCUGAAUCAAGUUGUAAGAUGGAAGAAACUAGAGUUCAUUAUGAUCACCAUCACCCUGACUACCCCACCAUCAUCAUCAUGACCGACAUCAUCAUCAUGAUCAUCAUCAUAAGCAGCAGCAGCAAUGCAUGCACUUGUUCAUAAAGAAGCUUGUAGGUGUAGCUAAUUCCUUUUGUUUUUGUUUUUCCAUGCAGUCACCUGGUAUAAUUCAUGUACACGCUGAAGGCGUAUUCUUUUGCCCCAGUUACUGCCCUACAAAACACUCUGCUGUGGAAACACUCACACAAACAAAGGUGUGUUUCAUCAGUCCUGGAUAACUCUUAAUCCAGUCAGGUUAACAGCCAAGACCAGCUAACAAUCACAAUACCCUAUGCUGGGAUGAGGUUGCAAGGGAUGAGUAGCUUGGCUCAUAGGUGGAUAGAGGACUUGAAUAGGUUUUUAUCCACAUGACUGUAAAGAUGGCUGACAGGUAUAUGAGAAUGUGUUCAAUAUCAUCACUAAUCUCACUCUGUUAUUUUUCAAGGUCUGCAAAAUACAAGCCAACACAAGCAAGCAGUAACUUGUAGCUUACAAGAGGCAAUAGGCAAUAAGAUCUAUCUUGAGUAUUGUGCUGAGAGUAUGGCUCAUAAUUAACUACGUAGUCAAUUUAAUUUUGUUAAGCAACA